rnacentral:lncRNA from 1 species
UCCAGAAGAUAUGUGGGAAUGGUUACAUCUGGAAAAGUGGGAGCACUCACCCGUAACCCAAGCAUCAGCAUCAGCAUCUGGGAUGUACCCUGCUCCACUGUCCGUGUAGCUGUGAGAAGCCUACAAGCUAGGCUGUCAGCGGGGUGGAGACAUGCUAGCAGCGCCUCCUCAGGGAGUUAGGGAAGGGCCCAGGUCCAUCGAGAAGUUGACGUGUGAGAUGUUGCUUUUGGUCACGGUGUUUCGUCACGGCGAUAGAAGUGGAUGGUGUCGCAGAAAUGGAUGGUGACCGGCCCUAGUCUGCCCCACAGAGUCUCCAGUGGUCCAAGCAACAGGGAUGAGAGAUUGGAACUGAAGCCUCAGAAAUAAUGAUCUACGAUUAAUCCCCUUAUUGCAUGAUUACCUCAGUUUCACCCAUAGGGGAAAAGAAAAAAUCGCUCACUUUCACACGGGAAAGGCAGUGGUGCCCAUUUACUAUCUAGCGUGAGGAUUACUUUGACUCUCUCUUCUCCAUCCUGGUAUGAUCCGUGGGACAUUUGAGUCUCUUGAUGUUCCACGGUGUCUCAAAGCUCCCACUGGACGAAUGUCACUAUGCACAUGAGACCCACAGUGCAAGAAGUGGCAAUGACUGGAUGCACAGUAAGCCACAGAGGUGGUUGACAGUGGGAAAGAAACCCUAGAUGGACUUGUCGGCCUGCCCCGUUGACGGCGUUCCUAGUGGUCUGAAGCGUCCUGAAGCGUGGCCUUCAAAAUGAAGCUCAAGCUAUUGCAUGUUACACCUGCCACAGAGAAAGAGGCAUGGGGCCUUCGCAGACCUGUGGAUUUGGAGACAACCUACAUUCUGUGUUAGGGAUAGUGCUCUAACUAACCCACAUGGCAGUGGCUUGGAAGGCUGCCAACUAUGAGGCUCUGCAACUGGUCUGGACUGCAGUUGUAGCUGCUGUUUGCCAUUUUACACUAUGUAACUCAAAAUACAGCAGAGCCAAAGGAGGCCAUGGCACAUCCGGCCUCCUCUAGAUGACGCCACUAAACAGAGCCCAUAGUAGUCCACACUAAACUACACUGGGCGCUGGGAAGUCCUGUGUAGUCCCUUGCCCAGAAACACUCAGGGUAUAUGGACUCCACUCAACACAAGAGUUUCUUGAAAUGGCCUCCUCCUCCUCUAGCUUGGAGGCCGGGGAGGAUACAUGCUGGGGCAUGAGAGGAUGUGAUCCCAUCGGACGAUUUUUUUGUUUGUUUGUUCUGCAAAGCUAGCCCCAUCUCUCCAGGAUCAGAUCUCAAAACAGGUAAGGGUACAGCCAUCCUAGAAACAGUUCUGCACAUGGUGACCUGGAUUCAGACCUUCUGUGCCUUGCUAUCUCUGUUAAUACCUUAAUAAAAAAUUCCCUUUUUUGUAUUUAUUUUAUGUACGUCUGGGUACCACAUAUGUGCAGUGCCUGAAAAUGCCACAAGAGGGCGUCAUAUCCAGUAGGACUAUGUGAGUCAACGUUAGAACUUUUACCUAGCAUUUACAACCACACACACACACACACACACACACACACACACACACACACACACACACACACACACAAUAGCAGGCCACCUGCUGCGCUAGGAUGAACAAAAGAUGGAAACCUCAACUGAGCACUUAAAACACCUGCUGGGUUCUUCUGAGAUUGGUCGGAUUACUGAGACUCAUCCUAUGGCUGAAGAAACUGAGACUUGGCUCAGGGACUCAUUCAGCAUCACACAACUAACUGCUCCAUUUAGUUCAACCAGUGUUAGCUGAGCUCUACUAUGCGUUAGGUGUGACACAUACCCUCGUCAAGGCCGGGUUCCCAAAGCAGAGGGGUUUAGAGGUUCAUGAAGGUCUGAUGAUGAGGGUGGCAGCACCAUCAGUGAAGUAAUCUUCUUGUAGGUUGCUGUAGAGAUAAAGAGGUGGGGCUUAGUUGGAGGAAGUAGGUCUGUGGGGACAUGCCCUGGAAGACAAACUUUGUCCCUGUGCCCUUUCUGUCUCUCCUGCUUCUGAGCCACCAUAGGAAGAACAUCUCUUCUCAUCUUGUUGCUCUGCCUCACAGCAGCCUAGAAAUAAUGGAGACUGUGCUCCAAAACAGGUCACCCUCCUUUUGGGUCUACUCUGCUCUGAAAUGCUAGCACUAGUGUCUUCCAGGCUAGACAGCAAGUAUAGAACCAAUAAAAUCUUCAUCUUCAGGGAGACCACGAUUUCUUGGGCCAUGGGCAGGCCUGUGUGGUAAGGAUUAGGCUUCGGUCUGAGGUAACUACAAACCACAUUCUUUCCUAUGAAAAGCCAAAUCUUCCUUCAAUUCAGCAUGUGCAGUAGUUUAGGGAUUUUGCUGUUUUUGUGUGUACCAACAUUUCAAUAUUUUCAUAGCAGCCCUGGCCCCGCUCCCUGGUCUCUACAGCACAGGUGUUGCUCCUCAGAUAUCCCAGAGCUGCUUCAUCUAAGUGACCAGAAGCUGUCCCUGUCUCGGGAGACUUUUGCCCUUGGUGCCACCAGUCAGUCUCGAAGCUCAGCAGCCCUUCAGAAAAGAGAAGGCUGGCCCCCGGCCUCAGCAGAUCCACCUUCCCGUGGCCCCGAGUCCUUCUAGCCCUGCUUUCUGCAGUAUUUAUAGCUCCAGUGGGAAGGGUUGGAGUGCCCUCAUUCUAUGUUGUUUUUUUUCUUCUUGAAAUAUAGGCUCAGGCCACCCUUCUAUUAACUCAGCUUUGGAUAACGAUGACAGUAAGACAACUCCUCCAGGCUCUGGGACCUGAAUGGCUG